rnacentral:lncRNA from 12 species
GAGGACAAUUGUUUCUCAAGAGAAGCUCAUGUGCUCGUGCAUCCCAGCUUGCACCAUCUUGUCACAGUUUCAGGAAAGUGAGCAGCUCUGAUGAGGUGGCUGCUGUUAUAACCCAGCAGAGAACCAUAAGAAGACAUGCUUUCAUGGGCUGUCCAGGUUGCAGUGAUGUUCUGCGGUCUGUGCCAGCCUGAGGAAUUCCCUAAGCAGCAG